UACUGGAUAGGUUCAUGCAUUCUCUGUUUGUGAUGACCCUGAAUACUUCUAUGACUAUGUCCAAGGCCUGAUUGAUGGACUUAAUUCUGGUUUGGAUUCACGUGAUAUAGUUAGCAUCGAAAAUGCUAAGGGGUUAGGCUAUGCCAUGAACACAGCCGAGGAGCUUAAGUUUGUCAAAGACAUAGCUGCAUCAACAGGCAUUGUCCUUGAUCCAGUCUACAGUGGGAAGGCGGUUUAUGGAUUGCUAAAAGACAUGGCUGGCAAUCCAGCCAAAUGGAAAGGUCGAAAAGUUCUAUUUAUCCACACAGGUGGUCUUCUUGGGUUGUAUGAUAAGGCUGACCAGUUGUCAUCUUUGGCUGGGAGCUGGCGCAGAAUGGAUCUUGAAGAUUCUGUUCCACGCAAAGAUGGCACUGGUAAGAUGUUCUGAUCAGUAUGGUCCAUGUGAUUCCAUGAUGGAUCAUUCUUGCAAACAUUGUAUCCAUUACAGAGUUAUUACUCUUACAUUUGUGCAAGAAAAUGCAGAAUAGAUGGUUGAUGGUUCACAUUGUAUAGAGCACUGAUGCAAUUUAAGAAUAAAGCACAUCUUUUUUGCCAUUUGGAAAUAAAUAUUUUUUAUGUGGA